rnacentral:rRNA from 1 species
CGGGUGAGUAACGCGUGAGGGACCUGCCUCAAAGAGGGGGACAACAGUUGGAAACGACUGCUAAUACCGCAUAAGCCCACGGCUCGGCAUCGAGCAGAGGGAAAAGGAGUGAUCCGCUUUGAGAUGGCCUCGCGUCCGAUUAGCUAGUUGGUGAGGUAACGGCCCACCAGGGCGACGAUCGGUAGCCGGACUGAGAGGUUGAACGGCCACAUUGGGACUGAGACACGGCCCAG